GUCACGUCAGAAGGGACCCAGCACUCCAGAGGCCCAAAGAAGUGAAAACGAGCUGAGCGACUGCACCAGCGCCACGGGGAAAUGCAGCACACAAAGGUGAGGACCCCGAAACUCUACCGUUUAUUCUGGCAGAGCCUAAUUCUCUCCUUAACUCACAGCACACAGUAAACAGGAUCCUAAGAGUAAAGGUAGGUUAAACAAUAAGAGCUUUACCACAAAAAUCAGCACAGUGGAGCCAUAAGUUCCUGGGUUGGGUAAAACGGAGGCUGGAAAAAUCUGUCCAGAAUGUCAUGAGACAAUCAGUAAAGACCUUGAACAAGGGAAGCCUCUGUAAGCUGCCACCGAAGCCAUAUGGGGUCCUCUGUCCAAGGUGGGUGAUGUUCACAUCCAAAACAAUCAAGGGGGUGGGCCAUGAGGGCUCACCAAAGGGCUCACAAGGCCGGGGGAGACUCUACACAAAGAGAGACAGCACAGCAAUCUGCUCUCCCCACUUAAGAAAAACUGAGAUGU